GGAGAGAUGGCUCAGUGGUUAAGAGCAGUGGAUGCUCUUCCAGAGGACCUGGGUUAGAUUCCCAGAUUCCCA
rnacentral:tRNA from 1 species